CGGGAAUUUUGGGCAAUGGGCGAAAGCCUGACCCAGCAACGCCGCGUGAGGGAUGAAGUAUUUCGGUAUGUAAACCUCGAAAGAAUGGGAAGAAUAAAUGACGGUACCAUUUAUAAGCUCCGGCUAACUACGUACCAGCAGCCGCGGUAAUACGUAGGGAGCAAGCGUUGUUCGGAUUUACUGGGCGUAAAGGGCGCGUAGGCGGCGCGGUAAGUCACUUGUGAAAUCUCUGAGCUUAACUCAGAACGGCCAAGUGAUACUGCUGUGCUAGAGUGCGGAAGAGGCAACCGGAAUUCUUGGUGUAGCGGUGAAAUGCGUAGAUAUCAAGAGGAACACCUGAGGCGAAGGCGGGUUGCUGGGCCGACACUGACGCUGAUGCGCGAAAGCCAGGGGAGCAAACG
rnacentral:rRNA from 1 species